rnacentral:rRNA from 1 species
UGGGGAAUUUUGGACCAUGGGGGAAACCCUGCUCCAGCCAUCCCGCGUGUGCGAUGAAGGCCUUCGGGUUGUAAAGCACUUUUGGCAGGCAAGAAACGUCAUGGGUUAAUACCCCGUGAAACUGACGGUACCUGCAGAAUAAGCACCGGCUCACUACGUGCCAGCAGCCGCGGUAAUACGUAGGGUGCAAGCGUUAAUCGGAAUUACUGGGCGUAAAGCGUGCGCAGGCGGUUCGGAAAGAAAGAUGUGAAAUCCCAGAGCUCAACUUUGGAACUGCAUUUUUAACUACCGGGCUAGAGUGUGUCAGAGGGAGGUGGGAUGCCGCGUGUAGCAGUGAAAUGCGUAGAUAUGCGGAGGAACACCGAUGGCGAAGGCAGCCUCCUGGGAUAACACUGACGCUCAUGCACGAAAGCGUGGGGAGCAAACAGG